ACUAGAAUGCCUCUGACUUUUUCAUAGGACAGUUGGCCGAGGAAGACACUUAAAGAUGAAGUGCUUAAUUCAAGGUCACAGAAUGUCGGGGAUGGACCUCCAGAUUUCCUUACUGACCUGCAUUAUCUUGUGGAUACCUGAGUGAAUUCCACACCACCCAUUUUAUAGAUGAAGCCACUGAGACGUGGAGCAACUGACUGAGUAGUCACUGCCCCACCCCUGCCUGGAGCCUCACACAUGACUUCUCUUAGUGACCACAGGAAAACAAGCUCAGGGCUCCCACUGAUUGUACAUUAUGAGACAGAGUCUUCUUGCUAUGUUGCCCAGGCUGGUCUUGAACUCCUAACCUCAAGCGAUCCUCCCAUCUUGGCCUCCCAGGUGUCAGGAUUACAGGCAUGUGCUAUCACACCCAACCUGAUACAUUGCCUUUAUAAAUUUUUUUUUCUUUAUUCUAAAAAACAGAAAAAACAAAACUGGAUACAUGUGCAGAACAUGCAGACCAAGUGUGUUGGGGACUUGAGAUAUGUACAUGAGUGUUUGUGAUGUUUCCUGGUGAAAGCACAGGUGAGACGUGGUCUUGUAACACAGUGGUUAAGAAUGUGACUUUGGAGCCAGCCUGCUAGGGGCUGAAUUCUGACUCAGCCAUUUAUUAACUGUGUGACCUUAGGUCAUAGAAUUUUCCACACUCCUUGACGGAGGUUCUUAACCCUUAUCCAUCAGCAUUCUCAGACAGCACCUCCGGUUAGGGACAGUAUCUGACCGUCCGACAUCCCUGCAGCCCCCA
rnacentral:antisense_RNA from 1 species